GGGCUCAGACCCGAUCUCUGCUCUCCAGAGCCAGAGGAAGCUGGAGCAAGCAGUCUUUUCUCUUCGCAGUAAAAUCAUAGCCAGACCAGAUGGGCCCCAGCUCUCCCGGGACUCGGCAGGUGGAAAGUGGUGGUUCAAUCAAGUGGUAAGAGGUCCAAGGACAGGAUGAAACUG
ensembl:lincRNA Mir124-2hg Mir124-2 host gene (non-protein coding)